rnacentral:rRNA from 1 species
UACGAAGGGGGCUAGCGUUGCUCGGAAUCACUGGGCGUAAAGCGCACGUAGGCGGAUUGUUAAGUCAGGGGUGAAAUCCUGGAGCUCAACUCCAGAACUGCCUUUGAUACUGGCGAUCUCGAGUCCGGGAGAGGUGAGUGGAACUGCGAGUGUAGAGGUGAAAUUCGUAGAUAUCGCAAGAACACCAGUGGCGAAGGCGGCUCACUGGCCCGGUACUGACGCUGAGACGCGAAAGCGUGGGGAGCGAACAGG